CUGGCGGCGUGCUUAACACAUGCAAGUCGAACGGGGACUUCGGUCCUAGUGGCGAACGGGUGAGUAAAGUGCAAAUAACCUGCCUCAAAGAUGGGGACAACAGCUCGAAAGGGUUGCUAAUACCGAAUGUUGUAUAGAAAGGGCAUUCUGAUUAUACUAAAGAUUUAUCGCUUUGAGAGGGGUUUGCAUCCGAUUAGGCAGUUGGCGGGUAAAAGCCCACCAAACCGACGAUCGGUAACCGGUCUGAGAGGAUGAACGGUCACAUUGGAACUGAGACACGGUCCAGACUCCUACGGGAGGCAGCAGUGGGGAAUAUUCCACAAUGGAGGGAACUCUGAUGGAGCGACGCCGCGUGAAGUGAAGAAGGGUUUAGGCUCGUAAAGCUCUUUUCUUGCAGAUGAAUGACUUAUUAGAUAAGUAGGGACAGUAUGUAAGGAAUAAGCCACGGCUAACUACGUGCCAGCCGCAGC
rnacentral:rRNA from 1 species